GGGGCGGUAUACACAAACGUUCUUAGCAUCGCUAAGUGCACUUAACGGCAAAGAAUCGUUAAGUUUUCUACUUAAAAUGGCGCUGGGCCGCUUAGCGCUGAAGCUGGAGCACUUAGCGGGCGGAAAAUUUAAGGCGGGGAAGGGGCUCCCUUAGCACCGUUAAAAAUGCAUAAGUAUUGCAACAUGGUGGAUUACAGCGGGAUGAAAGGCAUCACCUCCUAAUAUAUCUGCCUCGUCUAGACGAAUUGGAGGCGUGUAAUGAUUUGAAACUCAUCCUGAAAUAUCUGUGGACUGUGCUGACCGUGCUGAGAUGAGUGAUUCGGCGAGGCGGACCUUGGAAACACCUACAUGGCCAUCACGACUGAAGUGGUGUUCGCCGACAGGUAAAAUGCAGGUGCAACCUUCACAGACUGACAGAGAUUGAGUGAUAACAGACACUGGAGACCCUCCAGGCGAUGGCUGGUGACCGCCUGCCACCAUCCACAGGCUGUCACACAAGGAGCCCUGGGAGUAACCUUGCUGGAAGCCCCGCGGGCCGCAGUGUGUGGCUGGCGUUAUACAGCCCCCAGCCAUCGCCUGGAGGGCAUCCAGUGUCUGUUAUCACUCACCUUAGGUAGUCUGUGAAGGUCCAGUCAUCACUGGUGCACGUGUAUCUUACCUGUGAUCAACACCGACAGCCACAGACUCCUGCCCAAGGAACGAACACAGUGAUCGUGAUGACAUUGACAACAACGAGCAAGUCCUCCUAGACCUAGAGUGACCUCAAGCUGGGCCAAACAUGAUGUGGAAGAAGAAAUCAGUUGUCUCUAUCAGUCGGGUUUGUGCCAUGGCAGCUUUCUCCAGCUGUCCGGCAGAGGUCCAGUCCAUGCCAUGGAGAAAUUCAGCCCCCAACAAUGAGACGGCAUGCCAGAGAUGGAUCCGCAGCUUCUCCUCCAAUCAAUCAAUCCUUGCAAUGCCCUUUCUCUUUUCUCUUCUUCUGUACCACCAUGCUUACACAUAACUGAUCCAAGGUACUUAAACUCGUUAACCUCCUCCAUUUCUUCACCAUUCAAAAUUAUUUGGCAUUCUUUUUCACAUUCAAUGCCCACUCUAUAUGGGCAUACAAACUCUGCAACCUCCCUUCUACUCCGCUCACAAACCAUCACUUUACUUUUGUUGACAUUUACUUUCAACUUUCUCCUUUUACAUACACUAUCAAAAACACUGACCAAAUUUUGUAAGUCACUUUCAUUUUCUGCAUUGAGCACCGUGUCAUCAGCAAAUAAGAUUGAAUUCAUCACCCACUUCCCU